AUUGGCACAACAUGCUUUUCUGAGCAGCUGAUCAGGGUCUUCUGUAAGAAGACUGAUAGAAAGAGUGUGGAGGCUGCAAAAAAAGCACUUUGAACAGUGGAAGUUCGAGAAGAAGCCGCAUCUGCUUGGACCUGAGGGUAAUUAAAAGACCAUGGAAAUGACUCAACAACAUGAAUAACACAGAAUUAUUUCUUAUUCAGACUCAGGACUCUUUCUAGCUUUUAUCAUAUACAUGUUGUAUUGUUGUUUUAAAUUGUUGACUCCCUUCUGCAUCUGCAUAAGUUCCAACAACAUACAACAUGAUUUUAUUGAGGACAAAGAUAAAUCAUAAUAUAUAAUAAUAUAAACUGAUACAUAGACACACAUGACACUGGAUACAUUACUUACACAGCUAGCAGCUGUAUGGCUGUUGAAUACCAUUUAGGUAAAGAAAGCCAUUAUUGAAAUCCAACAAUCAUUGUCUCAAACUGAAUAUAUAAACUGCAUGUUUCUGAAUUGAUUCA